rnacentral:rRNA from 1 species
UAAUACGUAGGUGGCAAGCGUUGUCCGGAUUUAUUGGGUUUAAAGGGUGCGUAGGCGGUUUAUUAAGUCAGUGGUGAAAGACGAUAGCUUAACUAUCGAGGUGCCAUUGAUACUGAUGAACUUGAGUGCAGUCGAAGUAGGCGGAAUGGACGGUGUAGCGGUGAAAUGCAUAGAUAUCGUCCAGAACACCGAUAGUGAAGACAGCUUACUAGGCUGUAACUGACGCUGAGGCACGAAAGUGUGGGGAUCAAACAGG